ACUUUCACAAGGUUGCAAGAAGGAUGUAAGAAUGAAUGUUUGUCAUUUUGAAAUGGUGAAAAAGCUGAGGAAGGGGUUUUGGCCCUUUUUAAAAAUUGCCAUGUGGUUAUUUAUCUUUUUUCCUUGUCCAGAAUGAUGCUUCUUUGUUUUCUUCCCAAAUUUUAUUCUUUUUGAGGAAGUAGUACUAGUCUAGUCUCUAUGUGUUUGUUUGUGUGCCUCUCUGUUUUCUCAAGAUUCACAGUGACAAUUGCAUAACAUCUGAAGGAGUUUCUUGCAUUCAAGUCUCAUGCUAAUUUGGCCAGUCAAAUUGCAUGCACUACAACCAUUUUCCGAAUUGACGAGGUGGUGGUACUUGAUGCUCCAUAUCAUUUGCGUAAGCAUGAAUGGGCUCUAUAUCGUGAAGUUGAGAGCUCUAUUUCUGCUCCUACGGAUGGACAAAACACCUGUGGUCUAACAAUGGCCCAAGCACCCUCCGAUAUGGUCUGGCUUCUAUCCCAUUUUCACACCAAACUAUGAGGAAAGAGUAUUAGGGAAGGCCACUGAAGCCCUUCCUUGGCCAGCAUUCUCAAACUGGGCAUGGCAAAUGCAAAGCCAUAGCGUGGUGUUGAAGUCGACUGUGGUUGAUAUCUUCAUAGAGUUUUAAUUCAUAUAAUGAACUAUGUUGAACUAUUUUGAUACUAUUUUGAAUUUUAACUCAUAUAAUAAACUAUA